rnacentral:rRNA from 1 species
CCUACGGGAGACAGCAGUGAGGAAUAUUGGUCAAUGGACGAGAGUCUGAACCAGCCAAGUAGCGUGAAGGAUGACUGCCCUAUGGGUUGUAAACUUCUUUUAUAUGGGAAUAAAAUGUUCCACGUGUGGGAUUUUGUAUGUACCAUAUGAAUAAGGAUCGGCUAACUCCGUGCCAGCAGCCGCGGUAAUACGGAGGAUCCGAGCGUUAUCCAGAUUUAUUGGGUUUAAAGGGUGCGGAGGUUGAUUUGUAAGGCAGUUGUGAAAGUUUGCGGCUCAACCGUAAAAUUGCAGUUGAAACUGGCAGUCUUGAGUACAGUAGAGGUGGGCGGAAUUCGUGGUGUAGCGGUGAAAUGCUUAGAUAUCACGAAGAACUCCGAUUGCGAAGGCAGUUCACUGGACUGCAACUGACACUGAGGCUCGAAAGUGUGAGUAUCAAACAGGAUUAGAUACCCCUGUAGUC